ACAGAAAAGACAUGAAAGACAUACCAGGAAGGGAUAGUGAAAGAAAUCCUUCCUGUCUGUAAUUCAGUUUCCUGAUGUUGAACGCGAUGACGUAAAGAUAUCACAGGAAAAGAGAAGCGUGGUGCUGAGAAGGUCCAGCUGCUUUCACACACUCUGUUUCAUUAUGUGCGGCUGGAUGUUGCUGACAUCAGUCAGGUGUGAAGAGACUACAGCGCAGUCAACAUAAGACUUUAUUACCAGAUCUUAAAUCUCAGAAACAGUCCAUUUCUGUCACUCAUUCAGAAGAGCUCACUCACCCACACAGAGCUAUCCCCCACAAUAUGAGAGCAGUUGGUUUAUUUGGUUUCAUACAUGUUAAUGAAGUCAUGUUAACAGUGUUUCAGCUGUGCUUUUAACAAAAAUAUCAGAGUCCCCCAAAGCAGGAAUUUAGGCCCUUUUUGAAGGUUUGUUUCUAUGAACAGUCUCGUUUCCAAUCUCGUUUCCUUUCAGAAAGCACGCUUCUUUUUAAAUUCCUCUGCUAGAGGAAUUAAAAAGGCAGAGGUGAAGCCCGGAUCUUAUUAUGUCUGCAGAUACUUCAGGGUCACUUCACUCAGGUAGGAACCUUCCCGAGAAAAAAGGACCACUCGACCACAACCUGUCCUCCAUCCUUAUGUCCUUUCUACCUGGUGUGUAGUUGGAGUUAAUGAGGCGAUGGAAACAGACAACAAGCAGAGAGUGUUUGAUCCAAACAGGACGAACGUUCCCCAAGGUAACCUGAGACGCACCUGGAUGCUCACCUGUCCUCACGCUGUUGGCUGUAAACACAGGAGGUGCGAAGGUGUCACUUUCUCCUGCAGUGUGACUGAGGAGGACGUCGUUAAACUCCCAUGGUGCACAGCGGUCGGAAGAUGCUGAACUAUCUGCUCUUUCUGAUGGGGGUCUGUUCCGUGGAUCAAUGCAAACACUGACUGCCAAUAACAGGAAGUGAUUAGCUGUUGAUGUAGAAAAUGCAGCCAUGAAUAAAGUCUGCGUUCACCUUCACGAUGGACCAUCUCAUCCUGACCAAAGUCAGCCCAGCAGGAACCUUCACGCUGACGUUGUUGAUCUGGAACCAACUGGAGGUUCAUUUCUCUGCAGACUUCAGACUUUAGAGUUUUUUGAUUCCUGAGAUUAGAGACCAAACAGGUUUUAAUUUUCUAAAAUAUAUUUUUUGAUUUUUCAAAAACAUAUUUACAUAUGAUUGUUACACAAAGUUUUGGGUGUUUCACCAUGUUUUGGUACAAUCUCCCAGGUGUAACAUUUUUAAAAAUGUAUGUUUUUGCUGGAGAAGUGCAAGGUUUUUGUCCACACCAUCAGAGACAAACAAAUGCAAAAAUAUAUAUUUUAAAUUAAGUUGUUUCAGCUAUUUUGACUGUGAGCACUGUUCUAUUGUUUAUGC
ensembl:lncRNA